CCUGCAGGAAAUAGCCCAGGAGCGAUCAGCCUGUGACACCACGAUGCCCUCCCUCCAAGACUGACCUGCGGCCUCCCGGAGCUCCGGAGGGGGCGCUGGCCGGCGGGCGGGGCUGGCCCAGCAGACCGCGGGGCAGAGGCACGAGCCCACCCUGAGGGUUGCUGGGACGACGGGCACCAGACGGGCCGCCCUCCCCAGCCGGCCUGGGCAUCUGUGAUUCUAGAACACAGCCCGCUCCAUCAGACCGGCCUGCAAAGAUAGCCACGAGGCGCCCUGUACCGACAGUUCGGGGGAGGUGCCGAUAAGGAGGAAGGCCGGAGGGGACCCCGCUGCCCACCGGCCGCGCAGGCAAAGGCGAGGUCGACCCAAGCGGGGAAUCCGGGAGGGGCCUGCCCUACCGCGAAAUAUUGACAGCAGUCAAUACAGACAGCAGGGAGGCCGGGCCUCCGGGCCGGAGGCCCUCUGGACUGAAAUCCUGGUUCUGCCAUUUCAGCCGUGUGACCUGCGGCAAGGGACUUCACGCCUCUGUGCUUCUCUUUCCCUCAGGAACCAGAGGCAACAGUCGCUGUUCGGACGCGAAACAAAAUGAUUUAAUACGUGCACACUUCAAAUGGCGUGUGCCAAAUACACUCACUGCGUGUCAUCACCCCCCCACCUUUUAACUGAUGGGCAGAGGACAUUUGCCAAAGGGCACAAGGCCACCCAGGGGCAGGGCACGGCGUCCCUGAGGCUCUCCGGGUGGCUCUCGCUGAGGGCAGAAGGAGCAAACUAGAGUCUGGGUCCAAGUCCCGGGCGAGGGGAGAGGGCGAGGAAACACCCCAACCUCACGGCCCUGACCACCUCUCCGUCACCCACCGUACCACGAACGCACCGCCGCUCUGGCCCUCGGGGACACUGCCGUGGGAGCGAUAACGCGGCCCCUGCCCCAGCAGACGUCCACGCUCAUGAGGGCAAAAGAGGACACACAAAUAAACACACAGCAUAACGGAGGCUACCUUCGGGGACGUGCGGGGCGAGCUACACAGAUAUCUCAGAGUGAGCCUUCCGGACAGAGAGGAGCGCAAGCCAGAGACUCUGUGGUGGCACCAGGCUCGGCAGGCUCGAGGACAUCCAGGAGAUGUGCAAGGCAGGGUUGUCAGCGAGGGGACGUAUGGUCUGCUGACUGUUUCGUCAGGAUCCCUCUGGCUGUCUACGGAGACCAGAGAGGAGACUACUGCACCAGUCCAAGCAGCGGAUGGAGAAGGCUUUCGUGGUGAUGUUGAGGAGUUGAAACACAGCUAGGUUUUGAAGAUAAAGCCAAUAGCAUCUGCUGAUAGACCAUAUCAGGCAUGACCCAAGAUUCUCAGCUCUGCACUCGGGGAAAUGGAGGCGUCAUUUACCGAGAUGGAAAUACACACGGGGGAAGCCUUCAGCCUCAGCUGGAAAAAU